CUGAAUGAAGAACGAAAAGAACGUGGUGUUGUGGUGGAAUGAAAGAAGAAGAACGGAACGAACCACGCUUCACUUUAUUACCAUUGUGUUCGUUCCUUCUUCUUCAUUCAUUCCUCACCACUCCUCUUUUCCCUCUUUGUUUCGGUUAAUUUACAAUGGAGUGAAACGGAAGCGUGAAAUUAACCGAAACAAAGAGCGAAAAGAACGUGGUGUUUUCCUUUGUGCUUU
rnacentral:ribozyme from 1 species